CAGUCGCCACGGUAAUACGAAGGGGGCUAGCGUUGUUCGGAAUUACUGGGCGUAAAGGGCGCGUAGGCGGCCAUUCAAGUUAGAUGUGAAAGCCCUGGGCUCAACCUAGGAAUUGCAUUUGAUACUGUUUGGCUUGAGUUCGGGAGAGGUGAGUGGAAUUCCCAGUGUAGAGGUGAAAUUCGUAGAUAUUGGGAAGAACACCAGUGGCGAAGGCGGCUCACUGGACCAUUUCUGACGCUGAUGCACGAAAGCUAGGGGAGCAAACAGGAUUAGAUACCCCUGUAGUCCCUGUCUCUUAUAC
rnacentral:rRNA from 1 species